CACGUAGGGGGCGAGCGUUGUCCGGAUUUAUUGGGCGUAAAGAGCUCGUAGGCGGCUUGUCGCGUCAACUGUGAAAACCCGUGGCUCAACCAUGUGGUCUGCAGUCGAUACGGGCAGGCUAGAAUUCGGUAGGGGAGACUGGAAUUCCUGGUGUAGCGGUGAAAUGCGCAGAUAUCAGGAGGAACACCGGUGGCGAAGGCGGGUCUCUGGGCCGAUAUUGACGCUGAGGAGCGAAAGCGUGGGGAGCGAACAGG
rnacentral:rRNA from 1 species